rnacentral:lncRNA from 1 species
CUACGUUCUAUAAAUGAGAUUUAGAGGAUCUGCAGCCCUGUGGGAUGCUGUUACGAAGAAUCCAGAAAUAGUGAGUCCAUCACAAGUACCAUACACAAUUUCAUCUCCACAUCUUCACUUGGACUUAAAACUCACCAGGAGCACCUUUCUGUUUCCCCUCUACCAAUUCAGGCAAGAAGGGCCAACAUCCUGGAUAAGCAACUGGUCAGCCCCUCACAGCAAAACCAUGCAGGUCCCAAAGUGGUCAGAUAGCUGAGCGCAUGGCUGAGACAGCAGCUAGUCCUGUGAGGGCAGAGGGAAUCUCAGGAAAUGUAGACGAUGU